rnacentral:lncRNA from 1 species
AUCACAAACACGAAUUAAGUCAUUUUAAUUAAAAUAGAAGCAUCAAAAGAACAAGUAUUCAUGUUUUUUUUAUCACAAAAUAAACUUGAAAAGAAUAAGAGAAGUGAACUAGAAAAUAAAUCUUGGUGUUUCUCUGAAGCCAGACUAGCGUGCUUCUCUUUCUUUCUACUUGUUUUGUCGAUCAAAGACCUUCAUGAAUGCUUGAUUACUGCUGCUCCAAGGGGUGUGCUAGCUCUUUCUCAAGAGGGAAAAUCGGCAAAAGGAAGGGAGAAAAUUGGGAAGGCCAAAGAGAGUGAAUGAAAGAAACGACAGAAGAGAUGAGUGAAUGAUGAAUGGUG